rnacentral:tRNA from 1 species
AAGCACGUAGCUCAGUUGGUUAGAGCACCACCUUGACAUGGUGGGGGUCGUUGGUUCGAAUCCAAUCGUGCCUACCA